rnacentral:misc_RNA from 1 species
AGGAGGAAGCACGCACGAUCCGUUGCAUAAUGUUUGCGCGUCUACCACCCUUCGUGUAGCUUACGCGCAAUAUUGUGGUGCGAUGCAACUAUUCGCUCGCACAUCGUACACCCGACGCAAUAUCAAUCAGUCUCGCUGCUGUUAACAGUAUCACACAAAACAUUAUACUAUACAUUUAUAGAGUAUUUGUUUUGAUUCGCGUCUUACUCGUCUACGAUCUUACAGCCGACUGUAUGAAAAAUAAUAAAUGUGCGAAUAUAUCAUUUGAUUAGGUUCGAAUACACGUAACAAUAAAUAAUCGAAUUACUAUCAUCUACAACGGCGACAUGUACGCGGACAUUAACGGAGAGUGUCUGUCCGCUAGGUGAUCUUGCUGAUCUGCAGUUAGGGUAUAAUGCCAUUUAUACCCGAACAACGUCGCAUAAGCUCGCAAUAUGUACAAGAUACAAAACUAAGAGAAGCAUUUCAAUGGAGAGAAACGUGGAAAUGUUUUGUUCUGACUAUGGUCAUUAUCAUAUUUAUACUUGGAGUACUUCGAGAUCCGUCAAAUGUGGGUCUAUCAAAAAAUAAUUGGCUUGAAUACAUUUAUUGCAUUCUAGGAUGCCUAUUUUUGUACAUAUUUUAUAUUGUAGAAUGUCGAUAUAGCGAGAUUGUAUGGGAUCUGGCAGAAACAGAUCUCAUGCCAAUCUCAGCAGUUUCUGAAUAUAUUGUACGACUUAAAAGAGCUGAGCCUCAUGUUUGGUGGCAAGCAUCUUGUUACCAUUUCGUAGAACAAAAGUCCCCGAGACGAAAUUCAAGACAAAUGACAAGGGUAAAUAUGCAAGUGACCCGAGUUUCAUUUGACCAUCGAAAUUUCGGUUACACAGAUAUAUCUGAUUAUCUUGUAUUUUGUCAAAAAAGUCCGUUGGUCAAAAUUGAAUUUAGCAAAGGAUUCGCUUUUGCUAGACCACGACACGCUGAAGAAUUUGAAAACAUUCGCGGUGAAUUCUUUUCGGCGCAUGAACCCGUAGACGAUCAUAUAGAAAAAAAAGAAGGUUUGGACCUGGCCGGCGUCGAGUUCGAAGACUAUAUAUGUGCUGGUCGAUUUCCACGGUUCAUAAAUACCACGACUUACUGGAUAUGUUCAUUCUUGUUAUUGUCGUGGCCCUACAGGGUUUAUGUCAAUUAUAAUACAUCGUACGCACAUUAUACGUUUUAACGUUUGCAAAGUUAAUCGAACGGAGCGAAAACGAUUUUCUCUGCACAGGAACCGGGUGGUUUUUAAUUGUUCUCGAGAACCACCCCGAUCACCAAGCUGUUCGGACACGUGCGCAUGAUACCCAGCUACUCGGAAGCGAUGCUGUUGGACCCGGCGCCGCCCGCGUACGUCAUCGACU